rnacentral:rRNA from 1 species
GAUGAACGCUGGCGGCGUGCCUAAUACAUGCAAGUCGAGCGAACAGAUGAGGAGCUUGCUCCUCUGACGUUAGCGGCGGACGGGUGAGUAACACGUGGAUAACCUACCUAUAAGACUGGGAUAACUUCGGGAAACCGGAGCUAAUACCGGAUAAUAUAUUGAACCGCAUGGCUCAAUAGUGAAAGACGGUUUUGCUGUCACUUAUAGAUGGAUCCGCGCCGCAUUAGCUAGUUGGUAAGGUAACGGCUUACCAAGGCAACGAUGCGUAGCCGACCUGAGAGGGUGAUCGGCCACACUGGAACUGAGACACGGUCCAGACUCCUACGGGAGGCAGCAGUAGGGAAUCUUCCGCAAAGGGCGAAAGCCUGACGGAGCAACGCCGCGUGAGUGAUGAAGGUCUUCGGAUCGUAAAACUCUGUUAUUAGGGAAGAACAAAUGUGUAAGUAACUAUGCACGUCUUGACGGUACCUAAUCAGAAAGCCACGGCUGACUACGUG